UUAGUGAGAAUGACUACGCUGAGACCCUUCACUUGUGACGAUCUUUUCAAAUUCAACAAUGUGAAUUUCGACCCACUUACGGAAACCUACGGACUCUCCUUCUAUACACAGUACCUGGCGAAGUGGCCGGAGUACUUUCAGCUGGCCGAAUCCCCUAGUGGUCAAAUAAUGGGCUACAUUAUGGGCAAAGUAGAGGGACACCUGGACAACUGGCACGGACAUGUGACGGCUCUAACUGUGUCGCCCGACUACAGACGGCUCGGUCUAGCUGCCCUAUUGAUGAACUUCUUGGAAGACAUAUCGGAGAAGAAGCGGGCGUACUUUGUAGAUCUGUUCGUGCGCAAGAGCAACCAGGUGGCAAUUAACAUGUACAAGAACCUAGGCUACAUCAUCUACCGCACCAUACUCGAAUACUACUCGGGCGAUCAGGACGAGGAUGCGUAUGAUAUGAGAAAGGCCCUAUCGAGGGAUGUCAACAAGAAAUCGGUGAUACCGUACACGCAACCUAUUUCUUAAGCCGCAUCGGUAAAUAACCAUGUUUGAAUAGAAUGUUCAACACGUCUAAAGAUCACAAUGCGCGAGCUGCGCCACCAAACCAAUCACUAGCUCUAGCAGCAAUACACAUUAGUUCAUUCAUUCAAAUACAUAAACGUAUCGUAUAUUUCUGGAAAACAAAUUCCCAUUAAGGUGUUUAUCGACGAUUUCUGAAUUUUGAAAGACUAUGUUUGCCCAAAAUUGUAACACAUCAGUACAUAUGUAUUUAGAUUUUAAAAAUUAAACAUGUUCAACAGCA